AAUAAGAAUAAGAAUUUCAGGAAGCAGGUUCCCUGUAUGCGACCACCUGGCCCUAACUCCAGGAGUCCCUGUUCAUUAUGGCUGAACAGUCACCCAGAAGUUACACCGUCUGUUGUCUGCUGUCUCUUGCUUUUCGGCUUUGAAAACGAGAAUCUGUUCUCAAUUGUCCUUACCUUGAUAAAUAAAGGUUCGGAAAUAAAGAGGAACUUUCUUUCCUGGUUGGACUAUCUUUUACAACAUGUGUGUCCAAUUACAGUGACCAUAAAGGUUCCGAAAGGCCCAAUCAACAACUCUCCUCAGGCUUACGUGACAACACUGGUUCUCCCAAUGGCUUGCUCCUACUGUCCAUCUCUAUGUCAAAUGUGAACACCAUGAGUAUUGCCAAGGCAGAAAACUAGGUCAUUUGGAACUUACUUGUGUCACGCUAUAAAGGUCCGUAAUGGUUGUGCAUGGCCUGAUAAAGUAAGUGUCAGACUGUUGGCUCAGUGCAGAUCUAGGAACAGAUCCAAUCUCAGGUGUCUGAUGCUGUUGGCCGGGCGAGUGUGACAUUCGCUCACUCUCGCUCGUUUUUCUGGCUAACGGCGUCUCUGUGACCCAGUAAUGUCUGUCUGUGUCACGGUAGGCUGCGCUGGACCAGGCAGGUGGAUUACAGUUUUGGUUUUUUUUUGGGUGGGGGUAAGUAAUACAAAACAAAACAAAGGAUGACAGGCAGGAAGGAAGGAAGGUGAGAUUGGGGUUUACGUCACCCCAAAUCAGAAUUUACUGGCUUUUAACUUGGAUUGGUUUUGUGGUUUAGCAUUCCAGUUUGCUUCUGUGAUGGAGUGAGGGGGCUGUUUUCUCAUUGUAGUUUCCUUUUACAAUGCACUGGAAAAGCUCUUUAGGCUAUUGUUUUUUUUGGUGGAAAAUCCAAGGUUCAACUGACUUUGUACAGAUUGCAAAACGGACUCUAUUUAUUUAAUAGAUUAGACUUAGUACUCAUGGAAGAUAAUGGCAAAACUGAAGUCUGAUAGUCAGAGAACUAGUGCAGUGUCGACAAAAUAACAGCGCUAGCCACAUUAAGCCACCAUUAGCACUGUAAACAAGCCGACGUUAGCUAAGCAUGGGGUGUUGGUCGAGUGACUUAUUUGUAAUGCAGUGUGACUAUAACAUUAAAUGUCAUUAGUUUCAGGUUUUAUUUUUGGGAGAAAGUUCAAUCCAUUAAAAAUUAAAAAGUGAUAAACAGGCCUGUCAUGCGGAAAUGUUGCCAAUGCCACACCGCUUCCUUAAUCCUCUCAGCUGACUGAGGUCGCAUCUCUCUGCUUCUGUUUGCUCGUCUUACCCUCACUUGUUAGAGCAAAUGGUUAUGGGCAUUUUUUUUUCCAGUGAUGAAUGUUCUAAAAGAGUUUCCACAAAGCACCAGAAGCCCAAGUUAGAAGGCCAUCGCGUGGCUGUGAGUUUGUGCCGUGAUGAAUGUGGCCGCAAUUGCAUAGCAAAUGAGUGACACCUCGUCGGCCUUCUGUUUCUGAUAGAUUGUUCUUCCUCUGGCCAUUAUUUCUUCUGAGGGAUAUUAGAAAGGAGUUAAACUAAUCAGGAUCAUAAAAUAUAUAACUAACAGCAUUUAAAUGUAGGCAGAAUGCAGGAGAGAAAUACAGGAUGGCCAUAUUUCCCUGCAACCUAAACUAAAAGGGUCUUUGAGGACAAUCCUUACCUAUAAUCUUCCGCAAAUAAGAGGUUUUGAAGUCUGCUUUGAAAUAUAGACUCAACCAAAUCUUCUCGAUGCUUCCAUAAGGGAGAAUCUUCUCAUUCUGAGACGUCGACAUGAACUCACUAAAUGGAGAAAAUGAUGUCAGCAGCAGCAGCAGAAUUGAGGGCACACUGUUACGAUGAAGCCACAUCCAAACCCGAGUUACAUCCACCACACCAAGGAAAUAAUGCCAAGCAAAACAAAAAUGGGCGCAGACAGAUCACAAAGGAUGACAAAUUAGACACAGCUCGAUGGCUCAGAACGGCUUUCACUCCAGGGAAAUCAUCAGCAGACAAUGGGCUCACCGUCUUUGUUUUAUGUCCUGAAGAAGAAGAAAGAAAAGCAUUUGGAAACUUCUUGUUGUUUUUUUCCAAGAACCAUCCAUGAGUCACUUCCUCGAGGGGUCCAAUCCGAGAGUGAGCUAGAGCCCAAUGGAGUGCCAUUGUGCGGGGGAUGAUCAUGAUGACAUCCUGAAGAUGAUGGAUGGGUGUCGCCUAACGUGGGAGACGGGAGCAUGUCCGGGCUGAUGGCCAGUCUGCUGGGAGCCCUUACUUCAGCCUCAUUAAACACACCACAAGUCUAUGUCCUGCUUCUUGAACUGUGUUCAGGUGAUAGUCGCUGCUCUAUUAAACAGCUGUACAGUGGGGCUGUGGGUCCGAACUGUAAUUGAAAAUUGUAUUUUUCAAGGCAUGCAAGUCAAAUAUGUUGAUUCCACACUUGGGGAAUGUGAAGAUGAUGUACAAUGAUCCCUUGCUAUAUCGCGUUUCACCAAGCGUGGGUGCCUCUGUACUGUGCAAUUUUUUUGUGGUCAAACAGAUUUACAGGUCGUUGGGAAUGCCAAAAGCACAACAACACAGAACAUGCAAACUUCGCACAGGAAGCCAGAGCCGGAAUUGAACCUUGCACCUCUGCACUGUGCAUGCUAACCAUUCGACCACCGUGCCGCCUAUAUACAUAUGCAUACAUACACAUACUCAGUCUGUAUAUCGCGGAUUUUCACAUAUUGCAGGUGGGUCUGUAAAGCAUUGUAAUAGCAUUCAGCACAGCUACAAAAAAAAAAAAAAAAAAAAGACGGAAGACGCCUGGGGUAUCUUUUACAGUAGCUCAUUCCUGGUGUGAGAUUAAAAAGGUCUCAUUUGCAUAUGAGUCAAGAGGUGAGCAAGCUGGCGGGAAAGGUGGCACUGGACCUUGUCAUCCAGAAACAGCUGAUCCAAAUAAUGCAAAGAGAAUAAACAAUAGCAAAUGUCAUUUUUUGUUUGAUGUGUUCAAAUUUUGAUACAGCUUAUUCAUUUUUUUUGUAUUUAUCUAUAUGUGCUCUGUGCCUGGCUGAAGACCAGUCCAGGGUGUACACCAUUUGCAAGACUAUGUGACGAUGGAUGUCCUGGUCAAGGGGCAGACACUAGUCGAGCCAGGCGAUCUCCCUCUUGGGGGUGUUCAAAUAAAUAUGAUCUUAAAUACUGCUAUCUUUUCUAUAAGGGCUCCAGUAUACAACAUGCCAAUGAGCUUCAAGCUCACCACUGAUUAAAUCAAAGAACGCACAUAAAAUUCCCCCUGAAAAGACUUGGGAAUGUUGUUUUUCUUUUUCUUUCUCCAAGAAACAGCCAGCUCGGCCAUAACUGCAGUUUAUUAGAUGUAUGUUUAUGUGCUUCGAAGGCAGGGGUGGCUCCCGGCACCAGUGGCGUUAUUAUUUUUCCUGGGCUAUUGUCUCGUAGAAGCCGUAAUUCAAAGCCUGUUAGGCUGUCUCGAAACCAGUGGUCAUGAUGGUGAUACCUGUCAUAGCUUAUACUACUACGAAGGUACAAGGCAGAUGAAGUAUUUUCCUCAAAGGGUAUUCCAUUGACUUCCAUUGAUUGACCCGCAGUCUUACAGUAAUCCGAGGCUGAUCUGGAAUUUAACCUUAUCUGCCAUGCUUAGAUUUAGUGCUAUUUUUUUAUGAAGUCCUGGUGUGUCUAUCAAAUAGUAUGUGGUGACCCAUCACACACACCAAACAAAAAAAUAAAAAAA